AUCAGCAGGUCUAAGCUCUCGAGCUUAGUUCUGGUGGUCAUGCUAGUAUGGCAUGUUUCAGAGAAGGGAGAGCAAAGACACAGUUUCGGAAAUGAGUCUAGGGGGGACCUCUUUCUUAAUGUCCAAUGUCCUAGGUCUCGAGAUUCUGUGAUACAGGU